ACUCCUACGGGAGGCAGCAGUGGGGAAUAUUGCACAAUGGGCGCAAGCCUGAUGCAGCCAUGCCGCGUGUGUGAAGAAGGCCUUGGGUUGUAAAGCACUUUCAGUCGUGAGGAAGGUAGUGUAGUUAAUAGCUGCAUUAUUUGACGUUAGCGACAGAAGAAGCACCGGCUAACUCCGUGCCAGCAGCCGCGGUAAUACGGAGGGUGCGAGCGUUAAUCGGAAUUACUGGGCGUAAAGCGCAUGCAGGUGGUUGUUAAGUCAGAUGUGAAAGCCCGGGGCUCAACCUCGGAAUAGCAUUUGAAACUGGCAGACUAGAGUACUGUAGAGGGGGUAGAAUUUCAGGUGUAGCGGUGAAAUGCGUAGAGAUCUGAAGGAUACCGGUGGCGAAGGCGGCCCCUGGACAGAUACUGACACUCAGAUGCGAAAGCGUGGGAGCGAAACAGGAUUAGAUA
rnacentral:rRNA from 1 species